UCUUGUAAAUCUAUCCAAAAUCUCUUCAAGAUCUUAGAAAAAGAAAAUCUUGUCAAAAUCUAAGCAAAAUCUUGACAAAAGAUUGUUGUCUCAAAAGUUUAGAACACACAAGAUUUGUAAGAUAUCUGUUAUCUCUAUAAAUAAGGGGUGUAUCAUCUUUCAUUCACAACACAUACACUCACACAAGAACCCACAGACUUAAAAGUCUGCCCUCUCCUUCUCGGUUACACACACACACAAAUAGAGAACAGGCCUUUCAUCCCCUCUCACCCUCUCGAUUUCAAAAUAAACAAAUUAUAUGUACAAGAUACACACACAUAUGAGAACCCUUCAUUUCUUUGAUCCUCAAAAUAACACCACAGGAACUGAACCCCACCUCCCCUCCAUCUCAGUGCAGACUGAUGACCACAAGGAGGACCGGCGACGGUAGACGGUAGCCGGCACCCCUGUGUUUCCGGCGAGUCCUCUUCCAGGCAACACCCACCCCCACCCCCUCGUCUCUGGUCCGACGGCGAAACCGGUGGUUAACCGGCUACUCGGGUCAUUUUCCGGCGACGAAGAUCGGAAGAAAUGAGAGAGGCGAGAAGAGAAAGAGAGAUCUGACGGACAAAGACUCGGACCUCCGGUCGGUCCAUUUAUCCGGCAGUCCAUGACAUUAUCCGUCAAAAUUUCACGGUAAGACUCCUCCUCCCGCGUGCAUCUCCAUUUCUUUUGUUAGAUGACGUUAUUGAGGUCCGCUGAUGAUGAUCGGUUUGUCGGGUUUCGGGUUCGACUCGGUUCUGGUUCGGGACAGCCGUGGCUCCGGCUCGUGUUCGUGUGUUACAGGCUCCGGUUUGGGGUCCAGGUCAACGCUAGUCAAAGGCAGCUUCACAUUCGUUCGGGUCAGCGGGAUCAGGUGUGGUCAAACCCGGUCAAAGGAGGUCAGAGAUGGUCAACUGCAGUGCGGUUCGGGUGCAGGAUUCACCAAGUUUCUAGCUUUCUACUUCAAGUUCUCAUCCCACCUAUACCGUGUUUUUUUUAUAGGCAUGGGUAGGUCGGAUCAUUUCUUUUCACCAACAUUGACUUGCUAGCAUGGGCACGGGACGCAUUAUGGUUGCAUUUCUAAGACAAGGCACGGUUGGAAUAGGAGAACCAUGAAGAGUCG